UGCGCAGGCGGAAUAUUAAGUCAGUGGUGAAAUCCUACAGCUCAACUGUAGAACUGCCAUUGAAACUGAUAUUCUUGAGUAUAGUUGUAGUGGGCGGAAUAUAACAUGUAGCGGUGAAAUGCUUAGAUAUGAUAUAGAACACCGAUCGCGAAGGCAGCUCACUAAACUAUAACUGACGCUCAGGCACGAAAGCGUGGGGAGCAAACAGGAUUAGAUACCCUGGUAGUCC
rnacentral:rRNA from 1 species